rnacentral:sRNA from 1 species
UCAUCUUGAUAUCUCUUCAAGCAUUUUGAGUAUACGCUUGGUAUCUGGUCUCAAGGAUGGUGAUGGGUUACAGCAAGCAGUUGCCAGUUCAAAGAAUGCAUUUAGGUUCUGCUCCUUGCCUGAGUUCUUACUUUGCUUGACUAGCUCAGAACUGAAUGCAUCCGAUAUCUUCCUCUCCAGAACUAGAUCUUUGAAAGAGGAAGGCAGGUGGAUGUCACGGGCAUUGGGUGAGCUACUGUUUGCUGCCUCCUUUUGAGCAAGCAUCUCCAGAAGAAUUACCCCCAAGCUGUAGAUAUCACUCUCCCUGGUGGCUUCUCUCAUCUUGAUCAGCUCUGGAGCCUUGUAGCCCUGCAUUGCAGAUGCUUCAAGCAUCUGUUGAGCGGCAGCAGGAUUCAGCAGAAGGUAGAGGCCAAAGUCGGAUAUCCUUGGCUGGAAAUCGGCAUCAAGCAUAAUGUUGUUUGUCUUAAGGUUGCCAUGGACAAUUGGCUUCUGUGACCCUGAGUGAAGGUGGUCCAGUCCCUUGACAAUGCCAAUAGAUAACUUGCAAAUUAUGCCCCAUUUCUGUGAAACAUUGAUUCCCUCUUGCAAGAACCGCCGGAGCGAGCCGGCGGCGUAGAAGGGGUGCACGAGCAGCAUCUCCCCACGCGGGCCGACGUAGAGCGCGCGGAUCGGGACGAGGUUGGGGUGCUGCAGGGCGCCGAGGAGCCGCGCCGCCGCCGUGGCCUCGUCGGCGGCCGCGGCGCAGACCGGGCGGACGAACCGGAGCAGCGCCACCGCCUCGCCGGCGCUCAGCCCGGCGCGGUACAGCGUGCUGUGGCCCGACUUGGCCACCACCUCCCCGGGCGCCUCGAGAAUCGCGGCCACCGUGAGCCCCUCGCCCCCGGGGAACCUCACGAGCGCCUCCUCCGCCCCGCCGGCGCAGCCGGCGCCGUACCCGCUCGUCCCUCCACCCGACUGGAACCGGUCCGCCCUCGCGCCGUGCGACGGCAGCACCGCGCCCCGCCGCCGCCGCCGCCUCUGCCGCCGCUGGCACCGGACCACGAAGUAGCCGAGCACCAGCGCGACGAGCACGGCGAGGACCGCGGAGGCGGCGGCGGCGGGGGCGGCGGGAGCAGAGGCGGAGAGCACGGGGAGAGGGUCAGGUCGGCAUCGAGGACUGAGGACGGCGAAGGGAUGGCAUGCUCUCGUACGCCGCCGUAUCUCGCCUUGCGGAGG